rnacentral:rRNA from 1 species
AUUGAACGCUGGCGGCAGGCCUAACACAUGCAAGUCGAACGAGUGGCGGACGGGUGAGUAAUGUCUGGGAAACUGCAUGAUGGCGGGGGAUAACUACUGGAAACGGUAGCUAAUAACGCAUACCAUCGGAUGUGCCCAAAUGGGAUUAGCUAGUAGGUGGGUGAAAGGCUCACCUAGGCGACGAUCCCUAGCUGGUCUGAGAGGAUGACCAGCAACAAUGGAACUGAGACACGGUCCAGACUCCUACGGGAGGCAGCAGUGGGGAAUAUUGCACAAUGGGCGCAAGCCUGAUGCAGCCAUGCCGCGUGUAUGAAGAAGGCCUUCGGGUUGUAAAGUACUUUCAGCGGGGAGGCGUUACCCGCAGAAGAAGCACCGGCUAACUCCGUGCCAGCAGCCGCGGUAAUUC